rnacentral:rRNA from 1 species
GACGAACGCUGGCGGCGUGCUUAACACAUGCAAGUCGAACGGUAAGGCCCUUCGGGGUACACGAGUGGCGAACGGGUGAGUAACACGUGGGUGAUCUGCCCUGCACUUCGGGAUAAGCCUGGGAAACUGGGUCUAAUACCGGAUAGGACCACUGCCUGCAUGGAUGGUGGUGGAAAGCUUUUGCGGUGUGGGAUGGGCCCGCGGCCUAUCAGCUUGUUGGUGGGGUGAUGGCCUACCAAGGCGACGACGGGUAGCCGGCCUGAGAGGGUGACCGGGCACACGGGGACUGAGAUACGGCCCAGACGCCUACGGGAGGCAGCAGUGGGGAAUAUUGCACAAUGGGCGCAAGCAUGAUGCAGCGACGCCGCGUGAGGGAUGACGGCCUUCGGGUUGUAAACCUCUUUCAGCACCGACGAAGCGCAAGUGACGGUAGGUGCAGAAGAAGGACCGGCCAACUACGUGCCAGCAGCCGCCGCAG